rnacentral:rRNA from 1 species
UAGGGAAUCUUCGGCAAUGGACGAAAGUCUGACCGAGCAACGACGCGUGAGUGAAGAAGGUUUUCGGAUCGUAAAACUCUGUUGGUAGAGAAGAACGUUGGUGAGAGUGGAAAGCUCAUCAAGUGACGGUAACUACCCAGAAAGGGACGGCUAACUACGUGCCAGCAGCCGCGGUAAUACGAAGGUCCCGAGCGUUGUUCGGAUUUAUUGGGCGUAAAGCGAGCGCAGGUGGUUUAUUAAGUCUGGUGUAAAAGGCAGUGGCUCAACCAUUGUAUGCAUUGGAAACUUGUAGACUUGAGUGCAGGAGAGGAGAGUGGAAUUCCAUGUGUAGCGGUGAAAUGCGUAGAUAUAUGGAGGAACACCGGUGGCGAAAGCGGCUCUCUGGCCUGUAACUGACACUGAGGCUCGAAAGCGUGGGGAGCAAACA